rnacentral:rRNA from 1 species
CCUACGGGUGGCUGCAGUGGGGAAUUUUGGGCAAUGCGCGCAAGCCUGACCCAGCGACGCCGCGUGAAUGACGAAGGCUUUCGGGUUGUAAACUUCUUUUGACAGGGAAGAAUAGAAGACAGUACCUGUCGAAUAAGCCACGGCUAACUACGUGCCAGCAGCCGCGGUAAUACGUAGGUGGCAAGCGUUGUCCGGAUUUACUGGGUGUAACGGGUGUGUAGCCGGGUUGACAAGUCAGAUGUGAAAUCCGGCGGCUUAAACGCAGAACUGCAUUUGAAACUGUUUAACUUGAGUACUGGAGAGGCAGACGGAAUGCUUAGUGUAGCGGUGAAAUGCGUAGAUAGUAGGAGGAACAACAGUGGAGAAGGCGGUCUGCUGGACAGCAACUGACGGUGAGGCGCGAAAGCGUGGGGAGCAAACAGGAUUAGAUAUCCUAUC